AUUGAACGCUGGCGGCAUGCCUUACACAUGCAAGUCGAACGGUAACGGGCCUUCGGGUGCCGACGAGUGGCGAACGGGUGAGUAAUGCAUCGGAACGUACCUUUCAGUGGGGGAUAACGUAGCGAAAGUUACGCUAAUACCGCAUAUUCUGUGAGCAGGAAAGCAGGGGAUCGCAAGACCUUGCGCUGAUUGAGCGGCCGAUGUCAGAUUAGCUAGUUGGUGAGGUAAAGGCUCACCAAGGCGACGAUCUGUAGCGGGUCUGAGAGGAUGAUCCGCCACACUGGAACUGAGACACGGCCCAGACUCCUACGGGAGGCAGCAGUGGGGAAUUUUGGACAAUGGGCGAAAGCCUGAUCCAGCCAUGCCGC
rnacentral:rRNA from 1 species